GAUGAUUUUGUCUGCAACAAAUGCAACAAACGGUUCCCAGAUAUUGAAAGCUUAUAUCAACACAAGGCCAGAGACCAUGGCACGUCCUACCAAUGUGAUGUCUGUAAGGAAUUAGAAGCAAGAGAAGCAACUGGUAUUGGUUAUAUCUGUUGUGUCUGCGAUGCCGAGUUUGAAAUUGCCACUGAACUUGAAGAUCAUAUGAGUAGGCAUGACAAUGUGCUGCCCCACUAGCAAGGCAACAUAAAUUGAAACUAUUUUGGGUUUUAUUAGGCUGAUGCUAUAUGGGAAAAAUCAAUAUAUCGAG